rnacentral:pre_miRNA from 1 species
AGUGGGAUAGCUGGGUCAAAUGGUGGUUCCAUUCCAAGUUUUCUGAGGAAUCUCCAUACUGCUUUCUGUAGUGGUUGUACCAAUUUGCAGUCCCACCAGCAAU